rnacentral:piRNA from 1 species
UNCAUACCUGGUAGCACUGAAUUGGACCUA